rnacentral:rRNA from 1 species
AUGCCAGCCUCUCCUUCCUCCCGCCUCACCACCAGACCUCCGCCCGACCUCAGCCAUGGACGUGCACUGCCGCUACUCUGCUGCGCGCGUCCCGCCUCCCUCGUCGCGCCCGCUCCUUCGCUACUACCAGGUGUCAUCGCCUUCCUGCCAUGUCAGCGUCCAUCCCCGACCUUCAGCCGCGUCCAGGCCAUUCCCGUCGUCCCGCAGCUGCAGCGCCAAGUUCCUCUGCUUCGCGCGUGCAUUGACCGCGCCCCGUCUCCCUCGCCGCGACCGCUCCACGCACCUGGGCCGCCUCCCUUCACUGCCGCUGUAACUGGGUCACCCCCUGCUGACCUUCGCCUUGGCUCGGUGUUCCCCUUGUCGGAUGCCUCCACGCCACGACCCUCUCCUCCUCGACGCCCUUGCUGCUGCUGCAAGACCACCACGGCUCCAUCAUGGAGCCCCAGGUCUGAAGAUGACCACGACCGUGCAUCUCCCCUUGUACCACUUUGGAGACCGAGACCAUCAAGUACCCCGACGUUCAUGUACGACUACAGCGCCAAGGGGACCACUACCCUCGACCCGGGGACGCUUAAGUUCCUCUACGACUGCGGGGAUUCACCAAGCACCCUUCGGAUGCGCGAAGUUCAACUACAUGGACCGCCAAGUCCCUUGCUGUGA